rfam:Phaethon lepturus contig50432, whole genome shotgun sequence.
AAAACGGCUCUUUUAAGAGCCACCCACAUAUUCUCUGAAAGAGCUU